UGGCCGGGACUGUUGGUGACGCGCAUUCGACAAAGCAGCCUAAGUAUAACAUUAGAGCAUGACAUCCUUUGAUGCAUGGUAGACAAAGGAUGAGAGGGACAUAUGUUGCUCUUCCAGCUCGCGUCUUCCAAAAUGAGGUGCAGAGUCGGAAGGGGGAGGCCUUGGUGACCAUGCAAAUGCAAGGUAAAUUGGUUUGACCCGCACAACAAAUAUGGAGGUCUUAGCAUCCUAGACAUAUGCCCCGUUUGUCAAAGUAUUGCACCUGCGUUACCAAUGGCAUUCCUAGAACUAUAACAAGUCAGGGGUGGGGGAAUGGAGAUGGCAUGACAUGGAUCAUUGGCUAUUUAGUAUGGUAACUACAAACACCAACAGAAAAGGUAGGCUCUUUUCUGGAACUCUGCAUUAUAUGGCUGCUGGGUGACACAUUGAAAGACAUAAGGCAAUGAUCAUUCUUUUUACCAUUCCAAAGAUGACAAUCGGUGUAUUUGUGCCACUUUCAUCAUGACAAUCAACCUUGCAUUCCUUAUUCUACAUAUAGCAAUCAAAUUUGGCAAUGGAUAUGGCAAUGAAAAAUCAGUUGCUUGCCAUAUGCGGGGACCAAUAGAACAACUAUAUCAGGACAUCAUCCCUGGUCCCUAGGUGGUAGCGGGAGGUUUCUAUGUUUCUGAUAGAAUGUAUGUAGGGACAGUAUGACCCAAUAGCGGAGCUAGAAACAUUUAGGAGGCCAGACGAUUCUCACAAUGCAGAAAUAUUAUCUAAAAAUACAUAGUGUUUCUCUUUGAUACAAACAAAAAAAAUCCUUUAAACUUUGCCGACGAGCCCGGGUGGCCUCCCAGGGUCACCAGUCAGUGGCUCCCGCACUGAUUUGACCCAUGAUUUUUUUAUCACUUUGGCAGCUUUGGUGAGAGUGCAAUGCUCCACCUGGGAAAUCCUUAUUUGUAUAGAUUAAUACGGAAAAAAUAAAAACUGCUUGGUUCUCAGCGGAGCAAGACAAUUUAGGAAACCAUUAUGUAGAUUAGCCUAAUUGAGGCCAUCAGGCCAUUUGUUUCAUCUCUUAUGUACUCCCAGC
rnacentral:lncRNA from 1 species